rnacentral:rRNA from 1 species
UUUAGAGUUUGNUUUCCCGCUCAGGACGAACGCUGGCGGCGUGCCUAAUACAUGCAAGUCGAACGCUUCUUUCCUCCCGAGUGCUUGCACUCAAUUGGAAAGAGGAGUGGCGGACGGGUGAGUAACACGUGGGUAACCUACCCAUCAGAGGGGGAUAACACUUGGAAACAGGUGCUAAUACCGCAUAACAGUUUAUGCCGCAUGGCAUAAGAGUGAAAGGCGCUUUCGGGUGUCGCUGAUGGAUGGACCCGCGGUGCAUUAGCUAGUUGGUGAGGUAACGGCUCACCAAGGCCACGAUGCAUAGCCGACCUGAGAGGGUGAUCGGCCACACUGGGACUGAGACACGGCCCAGACUCCUACGGGAGGCAGCAGUAGGGAAUCUUCGGCAAUGGACGAAAGUCUGACCGAGCAACGCCGCGUGAGUGAAGAAGGUUUUCGGAUCGUAAAACUCUGUUGUUAGAGAAGAACAAGGACGUUAGUAACUGAACGUCCCCUGACGGUAUCUAACCAGAAAGCCACGGCUAACUACGUGCCAGCAGCCGCGGUAAUACGUAGGUGGCAAGCGUUGUCCGGAUUUAUUGGGCGUAAAGCGAGCGCAGGCGGUUUCUUAAGUCUGAUGUGAAAGCCCCCGGCUCAACCGGGGAGGGUCAUUGGAAACUGGGAGACUUGAGUGCAGAAGAGGAGAG